rnacentral:lncRNA from 1 species
UUAGGGCUGGCAAAUCGUGCGUGUCGGAUCGUUAUCGGGUCGACCUGAUAUCGACCCGACCUGUUAAGGCCAAACCUGAACACGACCUGUUAAGGAAUUGCUCGACACGAACCCGAACCCGACACGAUUUACUCAAACCCGAACACGACACGAACCCGACACGAACCCGAUAGCAACACGAUUUAAAUCGGGUUGACACGAUACGAUAACGACACGAUAUGCUUAUAACCUGAAUUUGACCUGAUUAAACACGAACACAAUAAUUACACGAAUUUGACCUGAUUAAAACAACACAAUAAUAAUACAAUAAUAUGUGAAUUACAUAUCAAAUUAACCACUGAACAGAUUCAUGGUUUGAAAAAACAAUGAAAUUUAAAAGCUCACAUAAUAAGUCCCAUUCAUCAACAUAAAUCAUAGGUUGAGUCCAACAAAAUAAAAGUCUAGCAACAUAAAAAUAUCGCCAUCUAGUGAAGUGUUUCAAGUUCAACAAAAUAAAAGUCUAACAACAUAAAAAUAUCGCCAUCUAGUGAAGUGUUUCAAGUUCAACAAAAUAAAAGUCUAACAACAUAAAAAUAUCGCCAUCUCGAAAAUAAAUACAAGCAGAGUUAUUAUCAUUGAUUUUCCUUUUCAAUCAUCUUCAUAAUAUAUGAACACCAGCAAUUACAAUUCAAUACCAAUCGAUUAACUGUAACACAACCAUUAUUAAUCUUGACGUCCACAAAAACAUCCAGAUCAUGAGAGAGAGAGAGAAUCAGAGACGGAAGACUCGGAACCAGCGAAACACAUAAAACUCAGCAAAGCAUAGUUCCUAAUACAAGAGGAGAAUCUCUGCAAACCAUUAACACAAAUUUUGCAAGUGAAACACAUAAAACUAAAGGGUUUAUCACAUCAAGAUCCAUUAGUGCCUUCUCCCAUGCCUCCUGCUCUUACCCUUCUUCCGACGACUCCUCUCCUCCGAAUCAGAGUCGGAACCAGAAUCCGACUAUGAGGACUCAGACGACGAGAAGUAACUCCGAUGCCUCCUCUUCCUCUGCUUCUUCUUCUUGCUCCUCCUCUCCUCCGCGCCGACUGGAACUUUGGGAGAGAGGCGGCGAAGAGGGAGCCGUGAGAUUCGACAGUGGGAUGGGGCGGCGACUCGAAGAAGGGCUGCGCCGGGCCGUCGUCGUCGAUGUGGCUGUGACUUGAGAGUCGACGUCGAGUGCGGGCGGCGGGGCGGGGCAGUGCGGCGGCGGGCGGCGGAGUUGGAACUUGGAAGAAUGGAAAUUGGAAGGGAGUCAAGGGACGAAACGGGUGUGCGGCGGGGAAAUUGGAAGGGAUGAAUGAUAUGAAACCCUACUAACCUAAAGUAAACUAAGAAAAUAAAAAUUUAAAAUUUAAAAUAAAUGUUUAAUAAAAAUAAUAAUAUUAUUAUCGGGUUACCUGAACCGAACCCGACCCAACCCGAACCCGACCCGAAAUUAUCAGAUCCUUAUCAGGUCGACCCGAUAAGGACCCGAACCUUAUCGUGCGUGUUUCUAACCCAUUAAUUUCGUGCGGUUUCGUGUCGGGUUAUCGUGUCGUGUCGAAAAUUGCCAGCCCUA